GAUGGAAUUGCUGAGCCAUAUGGUAACUUCAUGUUUAACUUUUUGAGGAACUGCCAAACUAUUUUCCAAAGUAGCUGCACCAUUUUAAAUUCCUACUAGCAAU
rnacentral:pre_miRNA from 1 species